AUACGAAGGUCCCAAGCGUUAUUCGGAAUCACUGGGCGUAAAGAGUACGUAGGCGGUUUGGUAAGUCAGGUGUGAAAUCCCGGAGCUCAACUCCGGAACUGCAUCCGAUACUGCCAGACUUGAGUAAUGGAGAGGCAGGUGGAAUUCUCGGUGUAGCAGUGAAAUGCGUGGAUAUCGAGAGGAAGACCAAUGGCGAAGGCAGCCUGCUGGACAUUUACUGACGCUGAGGUACGAAGGCUAGGGGAGCGAAAGGGAGUAGAAACCCGAGUAGUCC
rnacentral:rRNA from 1 species